AAUUACUGCAUUUUUAAAAGUGGUUGUUUCAUAAUAGUAAUUUUUGUUUGAAAUCACAAAUUCAUAAUAAAAUUGAUUUUGCAGUUGAUUUAUCUAAACCACUUAUUUGGAUACAUAUCAAACAGCCAUACUAUAGCAUUCCUGUUCAGUUUUCUGUUUUUUGAUGUAAUACCCUGGCAGUGAAAAGGAAGCAUGUACUCCUGGGAUCUGUACAUGUUUACUGAAGUGUUCAGCUCUAAUCUUGGUGUUCAACCAAAUUCAGUUGUUUGGUUUUAGAUGGCCAAAUAAUCAAGUACAUAUUUUAGCAUCAUGUGUGACAUUCCAUGAAACUGUACAUGAAAUUAAGUGAUCAUGUAAGUUGCCAUCAUAACUGCUGUUAAUGAUUUCAGUAUUAACAAACUUCAUGUUUAGAUUUAUUAAUAUCUGAAUAUCCAUUUCCAAAUGAUAGCUAAGCAUUCUAGAUAUUAUCUUAUAAAAAUCUCAUAUGAGUCAGGUGCAAUGGUACACACAUAUAAUCCCAGCGAUUUGGGAGGCUGAGACAGG
rnacentral:lncRNA from 1 species